rnacentral:rRNA from 1 species
AGCAGCAGCCACGGUAAUACGUAGGUGGCAAGCGUUGUCCGGAAUUAUUGGGCGUAAAGGGCUCGCAGGCGGUUCCUUAAGUCUGAUGUGAAAGCCCCCGGCUCAACCGGGGAGGGUCAUUGGAAACUGGGAAACUUGAGUGCAGAAGAGGAGAGUGGAAUUCCACGUGUAGCGGUGAAAUGCGUAGAGAUGUGGAGGAACACCAGUGGCGAAGGCGACUCUCUGGUCUGUAACUGACGCUGAGGAGCGAAAGCGUGGGGAGCGAACAGGAUUAGAUACCCGCGUAGUCCCUGUCUCUUAUAC